rnacentral:rRNA from 1 species
GGGGAUAACACUUGGAAACAGGUGCUAAUACCGUAUAACAACAAAAUCCGCAUGGAUUUUGUUUGAAAGGUGGCUUCGGCUAUCACUUCUGGAUGAUCCCGCGGCGUAUUAGUUAGUUGGUGAGGUAAAGGCCCACCAAGACGAUGAUACGUAGCCGACCUGAGAGGGUAAUCGGCCACAUUGGGACUGAGACACGGCCCAAACUCCUACGGGAGGCAGCAGUAGGGAAUCUUCCACAAUGGACGAAAGUCUGAUGGAGCAAUGCCGCGUGAGUGAAGAAGGGUUUCGGCUCGUAAAACUCUGUUGUUAAAGAAGAACACCUUUGAGAGUAACUGUUCAAGGGUUGACGGUAUUUAACCAGAAAGCCACGGCUAACUACGUGCCAGCAGCCGCGGUAAUACGUAGGUGGCAAGCGUUGUCCGGAUUUAUUGGGCGUAAAGCGAGCGCAGGCGGUUUUUUAAGUCUGAUGUGAAAGCCUUCGGCUUAACCGGAGAAGUGCAUCGGAAACUGGGAGACUUGAGUGCAGAAGAGGACAGUGGAACUCCAUGUGUAGCGGUGGAAUGCGUAGAUAUAU